AUUGAACGCUGGCGGCAGGCUUAACACAUGCAAGUCGAGCGGAGAUGAGGUGCUUGCACCUUAUCUUAGCGGCGGACGGGUGAGUAAUGCUUAGGAAUCUGCCUAUUAGUGGGGGACAACAUUCCGAAAGGAAUGCUAAUACCGCAUACGCCCUACGGGGGAAAGCAGGGGAUCUUCGGACCUUGCGCUAAUAGAUGAGCCUAAGUCGGAUUAGCGAGUUGGUGGGGUAAAGGCCUACCAAGGCGACGAUCUGUAGCGGGUCUGAGAGGAUGAUCCGCCACACUGGGACUGAGACACGGCCCAGACUCCUACGGGAGGCAGCAGUGGGGAAUAUUGGACAAUGGGCGGAAGCCUGAUCCAGCCAUGCCGCGUGUGUGAAGAAGGCCUUUUGGUUGUAAAGCACUUUAAGCGAGGAGGAGGCUACCUGGAUUAAUACUCUAGGAUAGUGGACGUUACUCGCAGAAUAAGCACCGGCUAACUCUGUGCCAGCCGCCGCAGUAUAC
rnacentral:rRNA from 1 species